rnacentral:rRNA from 1 species
GAUGAACGCUGGCGGCGCGUUUAACACAUGCAAGUCGAACGGGUAACCUUUUAUUGAAGCUUCGGCAGAUUUAGCUGGUUUCUAGUGGCGGACGGGUGAGUAACGCGUGGGUAACCUGCCUUAUACAGGGGGAUAACAACCAGAAAUGGUUGCUAAUACCGCAUAAGCGCACAGGACCGCAUGGUCCGGUGUGAAAAACUCCGGUGGUAUAAGAUGGACCCGCGUUGGAUUAGCUAGUUGGCAGGGUAACGGCCUACCAAGGCGACGAUCCAUAGCCGACGUGAGAGGGUGAACGGCCACAUUGGGACUGAGACACGACCCAGACUCCUACGGGAGGCAGCAGUGGGGAAUAUUGCACAAUGGGGGAAACCCUGAGGCAGCGAAGCCGCGUGAAGGAAGAAGUAUCUCGGUAUGUAAACUUCUAUCAGCAGGGAAGAUAGAGACGGUACCUGACGAAGAAGCCCCGGCUAACUACGUG